rnacentral:rRNA from 1 species
UACAGAGGUGGCAAGCGUUGUUCGGAAUUACUGGGCGUAAAGGGCGCGUAGGCGGCCUUCUAAGUCAGACGUGAAAUCCCCCCGGCUUAACCUGGGAACUGCGUCUGAUACUGGAAGGCUUGAGUGCGGGAGAGGGAUGUGGAAUUCCAGGUGUAGCGGUGAAAUGCGUAGAUAUCUGGAGGAACACCGGUGGCGAAGGCGGCAUCCUGGACCGACACUGACGCUGAGGCGCGAAAAGCUAGGGUAGCAAACGGG